rnacentral:rRNA from 1 species
AAUCAACGCUGGCGGCGUGCCUCAGACAUGCAAGUCGAACGCGAAAGCUCCCUUCGGGGGGCAAGUAGAGUGGCGCACGGGUGAGUAACACGUAGGUAAUCUACCUUUGGAUGGGGAAUAACCCCGAGAAAUCGGGGCUAAUACCGCAUAAUGCAGCGGCACCUAAUGGUGACAGUUGUUAAAGCGGGGGAUCGAAAGAC